UUCGAUUUUUAUACGCCCGUCUAUGACGGGACGUAUUAUGGUAUACCCCGCGUCCGUCUGUCCGUCCGUCUGUCCGUCCGUCUGUCCGUCCGUCUGUCCGUCCGUCCGUCCGUCCGUCCGUCUGUUAAUGUCGUACGCUACGUCAAAUAUCCUUUGACAGAUUUUCUUCAAAUUUUAACACAAUCUUAAUAUUGAUAAACCCUGAUCCCCUUUCGUUUUUGACGGAAUUCUGAAUUGUCGUUCCAGAGUUAUGGGACUUUGUUCGUCAAAAUUUCGUGAUUUCAUUGAAUGUCCUACUGUAGCUCAAAUAUCCUUCGAUGGAUUUUUUUCAAAUUUCAACACAAUCUUAAUAUUGAUAAACCCUGAUCCCCUUUCGUUUUUGACGGAAUUCUGAAUUGUCGUUCCAGAGUUAUGGGACUUUGUUCGUCAAAAUUUCGUGAUUUCAUUGAAUGUCCUACUGUAGCUAUAUAAAAAUGUUAAAGUUGUUAUAACUUUGGUAUGCUUGGACCUAGAGUCUUGAAACUUGACAUGAAGGUUGGCCAGAACUAGUAAGUAACCACUGGACAUUUCAAGGUCAUUCAUUUGAAGGUCAAGGUCACUGUGACCUUGAAUGUAAAAAUGUUAAAGUUCUUAUUUCAUGUUAUAACUUUGGUAUGCUUGUACCUAGAGUCUUCAAACUUGAAAUAAAGAUUGGCCAGUACUAGAAGAUGACCACUGGUCAUUUCAAUGUCAUUCAUUUGAAGGUCAAGGUCACUGUGACCUUAAAUGUUAAAAUGUUAAAAUUGUUUAUAACUUUGGUAUGCUUGGACAUAGAGUCUUCAAACUUGACAUGAAGGUUUGCAAGCACACUUAGAUGACCACUGGUCAUUUCAAGGUCAUUCAUUCUAAGGUCAAGGUCACUGUGACCUUAAAUGUUAUUGUUGUUCAUGUAUCCUACCGUAGCUCAAAUAUCCCCCGAUGGAUUUUUUAUACGCCCGUCUAUGACGGGACGUAUUAUGGUAUACCCCGCGUCCGUCUGUCCGUCCGUCCGUCCGUCCGUCCGUCUGUUAAUGUCGUACGCUACGUCAAAUAUCCUUUGACAGAUUUUCUUCAAAUUUUAACACAAUCUUAAUAUUGAUAAACCCUGAUCCCCUUUCGUUUUUGACGGAAUUCUGAAUUGUCGUUCCAGAGUUAUGGGACUUUGUUCGUCAAAAUUUCGUGAUUUCCAUGCUCAUGUACUUAUAAAAUAAACCAUGUAUUCAAAUACAAAUAAACUGAAGUAAAAAAAUGA